GAAACAAAACCUUCACUAAAGCAUUUAAAAAUAUCACACAAGUUACUUUAGUUUGUAUUAGUUCUAUGUUUUAAUCAAUUAAUCAAUUAGAAUCACAUGACAAAAAUCAUAAAAUGUAUAAUUUGACACAAAUCCUAAGAUUAUUUGUAGUUGCUGUUGGAAUAGCAACAGCCACAAUGUAAAGAAAAAAUCAACUAGACUUUCACACAAACAGUUUGCAGAUCUUAAAUGAAUAAAAUGAUCUGAGUGUUGAUGUCAACAGUUUAACUUCAACGAGAGUUUAGGAAAAUGUGUUUGAUAAUUGAGCUUUAGCUUCAAGAUUUUGGUUUGUUGUUUGUGGAGGAGAAGAUCUAAUAUUAAACAUGCUUCAGAUAAAGAAUGUUGUUAUAACAUAAUAAAAAAUUGUAAUAAUGAAGCAUAUCAGAAUUACAAAUAGAGGAAAUGAAGAAAGCUCUAUACUCUAGAGUAUUUUCUUCCACUAUUCACAACUGUCUGAACAGUGAGGAGGAAACCUGAUGAUAUGUAGAGCUGAGCUCCAUGUGACUGACUGUGUGUGUUUGCAUAUGUGUCCUGCCUCUCUGCUCCAGCUGUUAAGAGGUCAGAGUUGAUCAGUGGCUGUCCAGGCCUUUCAGAGCCACUGACAUACCAGCAGCACAAUGAUGAUGUCACUGACUCUACUGCUGACCAUCCUGGGGCUCCUGGUUCAGGGUUCUUCAGGAGACAUCAUCUUGACUCAGACUCCUAGAGCUCAGUCUGCUGUUCAGGGACAGACCGUCUCCAUCAGGUGUAAAUCUGACCGACUGAUUGGUGAUGACAUCAACUGGUAUCUUCAGAAACCUGGAGAAGCUCCCAAACUUUUGAUUUAUGAUACCACAGAACGUCAGCCUGGAGUUCCUGAGCGUUUUCGUGCAAAAGCAGAACAGACUGACUUCACUUUAACCAUCAGUGGAGUUCAGGCUGAGGAUGCAGGAGUUUACUAUUGUCAGCAACAUAACAGCUUCCCACUCACACAGUGAUACAAGGCCGUACAAAAACCUGAGAGAGAAAGAGGAACUGAUCUGACUCAAAAUGGGGGG